rnacentral:rRNA from 1 species
UACGGGAGGCAGCAGUAGGGAAUCUUGCACAAUGGGCGAAAGCCUGAUGCAGCGACGCCGCGUGCGGGAUGAAGGCCUUCGGGUUGUAAACCGCUUUCAGCAGGGACGAGGCCGCAGGGUGACGGUACCUGCAGAAGAAGCCCCGGCUAACUACGUGCCAGCAGCCGCGGGAAUAAGGGCGAAUUCG